rnacentral:rRNA from 1 species
CGAACAAACGCUGGCGGCGUGCCUAACACAUGCAAGUCGUACGAGAAAGGGUCCUUCGGGGCCUGAGUAAAGUGGCGCACGGGUGAGUAACGCGUGGAUAAUCUGCCCUUCAGUUGGGAAUAACUCAUCGAAAGGUGGGCUAAUACCGAAUAAUGCCGCAUGACCCCGGUUGUGCAGCCAAAGACGGCCUCUGCUUGCAAGCUGUCGCUGAAGGAUGAGUCCGCGUACCAUUAGCUAGUUGGCGGGGUAAUAGCCCACCAAGGCGACGAUCGGUAGCCGGCCUGAGAGGGUGAUCGGCCACAUUGGGACUGAGAUACGGCCCAGACUCCUACGGGAGGCAGCAGUAGGGAAUAUUGCGCAAUGGGGGGAACCCUGACGCAGCAACGCCACGUGUGGGAAGAAGCAUUUCGGUGUGUAAACCACUGUCGGAAAGGAAUAACGGAAGACUUCGGUCUUUAUGAAUGUACUUUUAGAGGAAGCACCGGCAAACUUCGUG